AAUAGAUACCCUGGUAGUCCACGCCGUAAACGAUGAGUGCUAAGUGGUUAGGGGGUUUCCGCCCCUUAGUGCUGCAGCUAACGCAUUAAGCACUCCGCCUGGGGAGUACGGUCGCAAGACUGAAACUCAAAGGAAUUGACGGGGGCCCGCACAAGCGGUGGAGCAUGUGGUUUAAUUCGAAGCAACGCGAAGAACCUUACCAGGUCUUGACAUCCCAUUGACCGCUAUGGAGACAUGGCUUUCCCUUCGGGGACAGUGGUGACAGGUGGUGCAUGGUUGUCGUCAGCUCGUGUCGUGAGAUGUUGGGUUAAGUCCCGCAACGAGCGCAACCCUUGUUCUUAGUUGCCAUCAUUUAGUUGGGCACUCUAAGGAGACUGCCGGUGACAAACCGGAGGAAGGUGGGGAUGACGUCAAAUCAUCAUGCCCCUUAUGACCUGGGCUACACACGUGCUACAAUGGACGGUACAAACGGUUGCCAACCCGGCGAGGGGGGAGCCUAAUCCGGAUAAAACCGUUCUCAGUUCGGAUUGUAGGCUGCAACUCGCUAC
rnacentral:rRNA from 1 species